rnacentral:rRNA from 1 species
AACAGGAUUAGAUACCCUGGUAGUCCACGCCCUAAACGAUGUCUACUAGUUGUUGGUGGAGUAAAAUCCAUGAGUAACGCAGCUAACGCGUGAAGUAGACCGCCUGGGGAGUACGGUCGCAAGAUUAAAACUCAAAUGAAUUGACGGGGGCCCGCACAAGCGGUGGAUUAUGUGGAUUAAUUCGAUGCAACGCGAAAAACCUUACCUGGCCUUGACAUGUAACGAACUUUCCAGAGAUGGAUUGGUGCUCGAAAGAGAACGUUAACACAGGUGCUGCAUGGCUGUCGUCAGCUCGUGUCGUGAGAUGUUGGGUUAAGUCCCGCAACGAGCGCAACCCUUGCCAAUAAUUGCCAUCAUUUAGUUGGGCACUUUAUUGGGACUGCCGAUGACAAAUCGGAGGAAGGUGGGGAUGACGUCAAGUCCUCAUGGCCCUUAUGGCCAGGGCUUCACACGUAAUACAAUGGUCGGUACAGAGGGUUGCCAAGCCGCAAGGUGGAGCCAAUCCCAGAAAGCCGAUCGUAGUCCGGAUUGAGGUCUGCAACUCGACCUCAUGAAGUCGGAAUCGCUAGUGAUCGCGGAUCAGCAUGUCGCGGUGAAUACGUUCCCGGGCCUUGUACACACCGCCCGUCACACCAUGGGAGUGGGUUUUACCAGAAGUAGGUAGUCUAACCGCAAGGAGGACGCUUACCACGAUAGUAUUCAUGACUGGGGUGAAGUCGUAACAAGGUAACC